rnacentral:rRNA from 1 species
AGGGCUUGACAUCCCCUGACCGCGUAUGAAAGUACGUUUUCACCCUCGGGUGGCAGGGAGACAGGUGGUGCAUGGUUGUCGUCAGCUCGUGUCGUGAGAUGUUGGGUUAAGUCCCGCAACGAGCGCAACCCCUACGUUUAGUUGCUAACGCGUGAAGGCGAGCACUCUAGACGAACUGCCGUUGACAAAACGGAGGAAGGUGGGAUGACGUCAAAUCAUCAUGCCCCUUAUGUUCUGGGCUACACACGUGCUACAAUGGCCGGUACAGACGGACGCAAAGCCGCGAGGUGGAGCAAAUCCUAAAAAGCCGGUCUCAGUUCGGAUUGCAGGCUGCAAUUCGCCUGCAUGAAGUCGGAAUCGCUAGUAAUCGCAGGUCAGCAUACUGCGGUGAAUACGUUCCCGGGCCUU